rnacentral:tRNA from 1 species
GGGGCCGUAGCUCAGUUGGGAGAGCGCAGCGUUCGCAAUGCUGAGGCCGUCGGUUCAAUCCCGAUCGGCUCCACAA